AAAAGGCGUCAAGAACGCGACGCUCAUUCUGUCACUCACGUCUGACAGCGAGCGCCACGUUGCUCUGGUCCGCCGGCUGCCCUCUUUUCCACAACAGCGUUUCAAAGUGACAAGCGUCAACUUGCACUUUAGGCGUGCUUCCAUCUUGCAAGCAUGCGAGCUAAAACGUUUGCAGAAGCUAGCGUUAGCAGUUAACAUCUUCAACGACCACCAAAACGCUUUUAUUUGGCGUGCAACGAAACAAUUGAAGCAUUUAACGGUGGCAACGUCUAGAAAACAGCGCCGUUUGGCCGAAGGUGCGAAUCUUUAAAACGAGCCCGACACGGCCGACUGACUUUCUGAGUUUUAAAGGUAACUCUUUCAGUCGACUGCUUCUAAUUGUCUUCUCAUUUCUGUCCACAGGCCUGCAUCUGCAACAGAGGGAGCAGAUUGACUGCAAAAUGGCAAAAAUAUUUUUAUCAAAUUGACUAAAUCAAGCAUUUUUUCUUUUGUCUGCAGGGUCCAAGAUGGCCGACUUGCAGUCCUCUCAUGGCUUCAUGCGACACUUGCAGACCAGCAAGCUGUGGUUGGAGAGACGUCCGGCGCUGCCCUCCAUUCCUCACUGAUGAAACGUGCACACGUCCAAAUGUUUGACACGUCAAACAUUUCAGCAUGUUCUUCCUUUUGUCCACCAGGUGGGGCCAAAGGACCUAGUUUCUGCAGCAUGGAUCGACUGGUGAAGAUCUACAAAGUUUUGAACCUGUGGAAUCAACCUCCUGUCCAACGUGCUGACAGUUUCCAGUAAGGAUGCAGUUGGAAAAUCUGCCACCUGCUGGACAAAGGAACCAGCCCUCCAAAACCAUGCAGAGGUGUCCACCCUGGAGAGUCUUUACAACAUUUCAGGAACUCUGCCUGUGCACCAGCGACCGGCUGCUUCCAGUCUACAGU